rnacentral:sRNA from 1 species
UUUUUUUACAGAUAAUUCCGCACACACGUUUCAAAGCAUACUAUGGAUAAAGAAAACUCACUCUACUAUCGUUCAACAGAUAUUUUGCAACGGUUCACUAAAAAGGAAAAAUGUUUAUCAGCUACAUGAAGUUAAGCCAACACAUCGCCAUACAUGCAGACUUUAAAAAUAUUUUGUUAGCUACACGAAGUAUUGACAUCACAUACGGACAUACACGAACAAACAGAAGUCAUGUUGCCAACACCAUAAGCAUCCUACUUUGACCAGAAUCCGGCAUUGACCAGUGAUGACCGGCAUUGACUGAUGUUUACCGGCGUUGACCGAUGUUGACCAAAAAAUAUAUUCAAUUUGUUUUCUUUUAAUAAACAAAUAAAAUCAAUAAUUUCUUACAUAGUUUUUCCAAAAACUAAUAACAAAAUAUACCACAAAUAAUAUAACAAAAUAAACCACAAAACAUCA